GAUGAACGCUAGCUACAGGCUUAACACAUGCAAGUCGAGGGGAAACGACAUCGAAAGCUUGCUUUUGAUGGGCGUCGACCGGCGCACGGGUGAGUAACGCGUAUCCAACCUGCCCACCACUUGGGGAUAACCUUGCGAAAGUAAGACUAAUACCCAAUGACGUCUCUAGAAGACAUCUGAAAGAGAUUAAAGAUUUAUCGGUGAUGGAUGGGGAUGCGUCUGAUUAGCUUGUUGGCGGGGUAACGGCCCACCAAGGCGACGAUCAGUAGGGGUUCUGAGAGGAAGGUCCCCCACAUUGGAACUGAGACACGGUCCAAACUCCUACGGGAGGCAGCAGUGAGGAAUAGUGGUCAAUGGACGAGAGUCUGAACCAGCCAAGUAGCGUGCAGGAUGACGGCCCUAUGGGUUGUAAACUGCUUUUAGAAGGGAAUAAAGUGAGUCUCGUGAGACUUUUUGCAUGUACCUUAUGAAUAAGGACCGGCUAGUUCCGUG
rnacentral:rRNA from 1 species